GAAAUGCGAUAAGUAAUGUGAAUUGCAGAAUUCAGUGAAUCAUCGAAUCUUUGAACGCACCUUGCGCUCCUUGGUAUUCCUUGGAGCAUGCCUGUUUGAGUAUCAUGAAAUCUUCAAAGUAAAUCUUUUGUUAACUCAAUUGGUUUCUACUUUGGUAUUGGAGGUCUUUGCAGCUUCACACCUGCUCCUCUUUGUUCAUUAGCUGGAUCUCAGUGUUAUGCUUGGUUCCACUCGGCGUGAUAAGUUAUCUAUCGCUGAGGACACUGUAAAAGGUGGCCAAGGUAAAUGCAGAUGAUCCGCUUCUAAUAGUCCAUUGACUUGGACAAUCCUUUUAUGAUCUGAUCUCAAAUCAGGUAGGACUACCCGCUGAACUUAAGC
rnacentral:misc_RNA from 1 species